rnacentral:tRNA from 1 species
GGGCGAUUAGCUCAGUUGGUUGGAGCGCUUGCCUUACAAGCAAGAGGCCGCCGGUUCGAGUCCAGCAUCGCCCACCA